rnacentral:lncRNA from 1 species
AUGGAACCCGAUGCAUUCGAAAAUAAACUUUUUCAACGGCCUAUACCAACAAGCGGAUCGCACACGAGCAAGUGGAUGUCAAGAUCUCGACGUGAUGAAAGUCGCAUUAAAAGAAUUUAAAGAAAGAUUUCCAAGCGGUUUUCAACACAUCGAGGCGUGGGAGGUCGUUCGAAAACACGAGAAAUGGGCCCAAGUACCAUUGAUGGGCGAGGAAGGUGAAGGUUCGGCACAUAAAAGAAAGCCCGUUGACGUAGACUUUUCGAUACCGGAUAUGAACGAAGAUCCCUCGCCACAAAGAGC